ensembl:lncRNA
GUCAAGACUCUUGAAUGAGUGGUGUAGGCAAAUGAGAAAAAGAUGAAGACAAUGGUUACAUUUAUGUCGGGAAAAAUACGCCCCAAAUGGGUUGGUAAUGCUUGUUAUAAAGACGGCGAGUGUGGCUGAGAGGUUUCCCAAGUCACGAGAAGUUUGCAAGGGAAGUGGACGGGCGUCUCAAGCAGUAUCAUUUGAUGCUGCAUUCUCAGAUUCCAUGACGUUGGUCUCCAGUGUUCUGUGGGGGGGAAAUGGCUGCAUCGCAAUGAAUGCCAACUCCUGCAAGUGUUCAGCCAAUCGGUUCUGCUGCUCGAUGGCAGGGGCCAUUUUAAUUUGUCUGUUUGCUGCCAUUGUGGCAACAUAAGUUCUGCUGGGUGAGUUGUGAAAUCAAUUAUUUUGAUCCAUUAGUACCAUCUAAUGACUAAUUAUCCAGUCCAAGGAUUUCAUGUCACUUGACAUGUGUACUUACACCAUGAUGACCUAGUUAUGUUAAUAUAUAACUUGCUACAGCUGUCAGUGAUUCUGCUUAACAUACAUUGCUUGAGUAAUUACUAUGAUAACUCACAUUACCAUCUGAGACAGUGGAUAUUAUAGUGGUCCUGUGUACUUGUCCAUGUUUCAAUAUGUAAUCAUGGAUUUCUCUGCAUUCAGGCCACAAGGUGGUUGUUGAGGGUGUCAACAUCUUUGGAACAAAUGUAAGUAAUUUACACUUUGUAUUUGUGACAUUCGCAUUUUUGAUGUACUUGUGUUAUGGGAUAAUGCCUGUAGCGCGUCUAUGAUGAUUGCGAUUUCGGUUCCUGAAUUAAACUGAUGCUUUCUCGCAGCGCACUGAGACACAAAUGCCAAAUAUCAAGAGCAUGUGAAUGAAUUAGUCUUGAAUCUGUCAUUCACUACAUGAUCACUUGCACUGAUAAGAUUAUAUAGGUUGGUUUCCCCAGUGACCUUAUUGUUUCAACGGAGUAGCUGAUAAAUCCAAUUGGGUUAGAUGUUUUCAUAUGUACAUUGUAAUGGAGGUAGUAAUUGCUGCUCUUUCCUUUCUUGAGGUUGAGUGUUGCUCCUUUGCCCUGCCCAGACUGCGGACUCCAGGAUUACUUGUAUAAGUUGACAGGUCAGUACAGAAGGUGGUUGUUUCCUUGCUGUGUUGGUGCCAUGGUGUCUCUUUGAAUAUACUAGUUGACGGUGUCUGAUUACCAUUAAGCUCCUUCAAUGCACUGACACUGCAGUUUGUUUUAAGUUCCUAAUCAUGUUAUGUGUGUAACUGACACAUUUGUCUUUUUAGGACUUGGAGGAUCCUGAAAUAGAUGGGAGAUUCUUCAAGAGCUUCAGUUGUGAAAUGAAAUGCUUAACGUAGGCAUUUAGUUGAUUGGGGGACUUUGCUGUAUGCAUGAACAAUUUAUCUUGGCUUUGAUUCCCUGAAGUUGCCAAGACUACAAUCAAGGAAUUUCGUUGGCGAUAUCCGACACCUUCCUACCAAAGGCUAACACUCUGACAACUGCUGUAAAAAGGAUAUGUAAUUGAAAGUCAAUUGCCACUUAUCAUGCAAUUAGUGCUUGCAGUGUUUGAAUAAAAAAAAUGGAGUCA